CAUGCCGAUGCUUACCAUGCAAGUCGAACGGGCGUAGCAAUACGUCAGUGGCAGACGGGUGAGUAACGCGUGGGAACGUACCUUUUGGUUCGGAACAACUGAGGGAAACUUCAGCUAAUACCGGAUAAGCCCUUACGGGGAAAGAUUUAUCGCCGAAAGAUCGGCCCGCGUCUGAUUAGCUAGUUGGUGAGGUAAUGGCUCACCAAGGCGACGAUCAGUAGCUGGUCUGAGAGGAUGAUCAGCCACAUUGGGACUGAGACACGGCCCAAACUCCUACGGGAGGCAGCAGUGGGGAAUAUUGGACAAUGGGGGCAACCCUGAUCCAGCCAUGCCGCGUGAGUGAUGAAGGCCCUAGGGUUGUAAAGCUCUUUUGUGCGGGAAGAUAAUGACGGUACCGCAAGAAUAAGCCCCGGCUAACUUCGUGCCAGCAGCCGCGGUAAUACGAAGGGGCUAGCGUUGCUCGGAAUCACUGGGCGUAAAGGGUGCGUAGGCGGGUUUCUAAGUCAGAGGUGAAAGCCUGGAGCUCAACUCCAGAACUGCCUUUGAUACUGGAAGUCUUGAGUAUGGCAGAGGUGAGUGGAACUGCGAGUGUAGAGGUGAAAUUCGUAGAUAUUCGCGAGAACACCAGUGGCGAAGGCGGCUCACUGGGCCAUUACUGACGCUGAGGCACGAAAGCGUGGGGAGCAAACAGGAUUAGAUACCCUGGUAGUCCAUGCCGUAAACGAUGAAUGCCAGCCGUUAGUGGGUUUACUCACUAGUGGCGCAGCUAACGCUUUAAGCAUUCCGCCUGGGGAGUACGGUCGCAAGAUUAAAACUCAAA
rnacentral:rRNA from 1 species